rnacentral:rRNA from 1 species
AACGAACGCUGGCGGCAUGCCUAACACAUGCAAGUCGAACGAAGGCUUCGGCCUUAGUGGCGCACGGGUGCGUAACGCGUGGGAAUCUGCCCUUGGGUUCGGAAUAACGUCGGGAAACUGACGCUAAUACCGGAUGAUGACGUAAGUCCAAAGAUUUAUCGCCCAAGGAUGAGCCCGCGUCGGAUUAGCUAGUUGGUGAGGUAAAAGCUCACCAAGGCGACGAUCCGUAGCUGGUCUGAGAGGAUGAUCAGCCACACUGGGACUGAGACACGGCCCAGACUCCUACGGGAGGCAGCAGUGGGGAAUACUGGACAAUGGGCGAAAGCCUGAUCCAGCAAUGCCGCGUGAGUGAUGAAGGCCUUAGGGUUGUAAAGCUCUUUUACCCGGGAUGAUAAUGACCGUACCGGGAGAAUAAGCUCCGGCUAACUCCGUG